GUGCCAGCAGCCGCGGUAAAACGUAGGAGACGAGCGUUAUCCGGAUUUACUGGGCGUAAAGCGCGUGCAGGCGGUUCGGCAAGUUGGAUGUGAAAUCUCCCGGCUCAACUGGGAGGGGUCGUUCAAUACUACCGAACUCGAGGAUGGUAGAGGAAGGUGGAAUUCCCGGUGUAGUGGUGAAAUGCGUAGAUAUCGGGAGGAACACCAGUGGCGAAAGCGGCCUUCUGGACCAUUCCUGACGCUCAUACGCGAAAGCUAGGGGAGCGAACGGGAUUAGAUACCCCUGUAGUCC
rnacentral:rRNA from 1 species